UGAACGCUGGCGGCAUGCCUUACACAUGCAAGUCGAACGGCAGCACGGGUGCUUGCACCUGGUGGCGAGUGGCGAACGGGUGAGUAAUACAUCGGAACAUGUCCUGUAGUGGGGGAUAGCCCGGCGAAAGCCGGAUUAAUACCGCAUACGAUCUACGGAUGAAAGCGGGGGACCUUCGGGCCUCGCGCUAUAGGGUUGGCCGAUGGCUGAUUAGCUAGUUGGUGGGGUAAAGGCCUACCAAGGCGACGAUCAGUAGCUGGUCUGAGAGGACGACCAGCCACACUGGGACUGAGACACGGCCCAGACUCCUACGGGAGGCAGCAGUGGGGAAUUUUGGACAAUGGGCGAAAGCCUGAUCCAGCAAUGCCGCGUGUGUGAAGAAGGCCUUCGGGUUGUAAAGCACUUUUGUCCGGAAAGAAAUCCUUGGCUCUAAUACAGUCGGGGGAUGACGGUACCGGAAGAAUAAGCACCGGCUAACUACGUGCCAGCAGCCGCGGUAAUACGUAGGGUGCGAGCGUUAAUCGGAAUUACUGGGCGUAAAGCGUGCGCAGGCGGUUUGCUAAGACCGAUGUGAAAUCCCCGGGCUCAACCUGGGAACUGCAUUGGUGACUGGCAGGCUAGAGUAUGGCAGAGGGGGGUAGAAUUCCACGUGUAGCAGUGAAAUGCGUAGAGAUGUGGAGGAAUACCGAUGGCGAAGGCAGCCCCCUGGGCCAAUACUGACGCUCAUGCACGAAAGCGUGGGGGAGCAAACAGGAUUAGAUACCCUGGUAGUCCACGCCCUAAACGAUGUCAACUAGUUGUUGGGGAUUCAUUUCCUUAGUAACGUAGCUAACGCGUGAAGUUGACCGCCUGGGGAGUACGGUCGCAAGAUUAAAACUCAAAGGAAUUGACGGGGACCCGCACAAGCGGUGGAUGAUGUGGAUUAAUUCGAUGCAACGCGAAAAACCUUACCUACCCUUGACAUGGUCGGAAUCCCGCUGAGAGGUGGGAGUGCUCGAAAGAGAACCGGCGCACAGGUGCUGCAUGGCUGUCGUCAGCUCGUGUCGUGAGAUGUUGGGUUAAGUCCCGCAACGAGCGCAACCCUUGUCCUUAGUUGCUACGCAAGAGCACUCUAAGGAGACUGCCGGUGACAAACCGGAGGAAGGUGGGGAUGACGUCAAGUCCUCAUGGCCCUUAUGGGUAGGGCUUCACACGUCAUACAAUGGUCGGAACAGAGGGUUGCCAACCCGCGAGGGGGGGCUAAUCCCAGAAAACCGAUCGUAGUCCGGAUUGCACUCUGCAACUCGAGUGCAUGAAGCUGGAAUCGCUAGUAAUCGCGGAUCAGCAUGCCGCGGUGAAUACGUUCCCGGGUCUUGUACACACCGC
rnacentral:rRNA from 1 species